AUCAAGUACUAGCUAUCCAAAUGUGAUUAAAAUAUAACCAAAACCAAAAGGACAAUGAUCACAUGCUCUUGUGGUUGAAUGGUGUAUAUACCCUCGUGACGAGGGCAAUUAACAUCGAGAGAGUGAUGCUACCAAACAAAUUCAAGUGUUAAAACACAACAAGAAUUGAAUAGUUAUAAAUAAAGACAAGCCCUUGCUUACACACGCAGUGUUGCAUAAAGCGAUUAAAUAAGGAAGCAAUGAUUACAAUAAUUUCUUGAUUACGUCGAACAGAACACUCGAUCAAUGCAAAACUCAGUUAUCAGAAUUUUGCAUCAAUACUGUGAAUCACCAAGAGAGGGAUAAAAUUCGAUUGUUUCAGCAUGAACCCAUUAAGGAUUUAAACGAAAAAGAAGAAAAUCUUCUUAAACCCACCAGAGCCAGCAACUGGAGGAGUGUACCUGCCCUCAUAAUCAGGUCAAGGGACACGAAAAGAAGAAGGAAAAAAACUCUAAGAGACAACAUUAACAAGUCGAUACAUGAAUUGCACAAAAUAGCAAGACGCU
rnacentral:misc_RNA from 1 species